UGACCAGACUCCUACGGGAGGCAGCAGUGGGGAAUAUUGGGCAAUGGGCGCAAGCCUGACCCAGCAACGCCGCGUGAAGGAAGAAGGCUUUCGGGUUGUAAACUUCUUUUCUCAGGGACGAAGAAAGUGACGGUACCUGAGGAAUAAGCCACGGCUAACUACGUGCCAGCAGCCGCGGUAAUACGUAGGUGGCAAGCGUUAUCCGGAUUUACUGGGUGUAAAGGGCGUGUAGGCGGGACUGCAAGUCAGAUGUGAAAACCAUGGGCUCAACCUGUGGCCUGCAUUUGAAACUGUAGUUCUUGAGUACUGGAGAGGCAGACGGAAUUCCUAGUGUAGCGGUGAAAUGCGUAGAUAUUAGGAGGAACACCAGUGGCGAAGGCGGCCUGCUGGGCUUUUACUGACGCUGAGGCUCGAAAGUGUGGGGAGCACACAGGAUUAGAUACCCGCGUAA
rnacentral:rRNA from 1 species